GUGUGUGCGUGCAGUUAUUCCUAACCCUCAAACUGAUGAACAAUAAUUUCCCCAUUUCAAUAUUUUCCAGCUUUCUAACAGGUGUGUUUUGCAAUAUCUAAUGCACACAUAUAAAUUACAUUUAGAAUACUCAAUUAUAAUGCUUGUUAGAUUUGUUAGCACUAAGAUAUCGAUUUUCCAACUUCAGACAGCAAUUAACAUGCUUUGCUUGUUCAUUUUAAAGUUCCCAGACCUCACUGAAAGCCCACCUGGUAAUGCCAGAGGACAGUAUCAUCAGCAGUGUCCAGGAGCAACUGUCAAAAUCUGACCAAAUGGUGGCUGCAGGACAGCUUUCACAAAUAGAUAAAGUGGUUGGAACUAUGCUGGAGAACAUUGAGAAGAUAAGCAGCGAAUGUGGCGAGGAAUUGGUCUAUCAAGAGUCACUGCGGUCUUCCUCCUCGUUGUCAUUCUCAACUGCCAAAUCACAGAAGACAGAGUGGGAAUUUGCACUCCCUGGCACUCCCAUUCCUUCUGAGUUACCCGAGAGUACUGCUCAGCCCAUUGUAAGAUGUUCAGUCAUUGACAUGAGCAAAUCUACUAAGCCAAAAACAAUGGUGUGUGAUGCCAGAACAAGCAUGUUUGCCAUAGCCGAUACCAUCAUGAAGAAGGUAUAUCCAGAGGCAGAAGGGCAGGUUACAUCUCGCCCUGAUCUAACAGAUGCAAUAGCUAGACUGGAGGAGCUCAUAUCUCAGGGUAGGAUUGGUGCUCUCUCCCGUGAUCUCAGUCACCAAGUCACCCUCAUAAUUUCCGAUAGCAACUUGACCCCUCUGGGACUGACAGUGGCGGCUGGAAAGAGUGCAUCUGAUACCAUCCUUUCGAAGCUGAAGAGGAAUGACAAGGUGGGGAAGCACACAACUUACGAGCUGGUUCAGCUGUUUGUAGAGGAGUCUGUUAAGUGCCUCCUGCUUCCUAGUUUUGUGCCCUAUUCAACUUCAAUGAGUUUGGCUCAGGGGGCCACGGUGUUGGCUAGAGUGUCUGAAGAUAGAAUUUCUAGCUCUUCUUCUUCAUCAGUAUUUAGUGACACAGUCAGUCUCUUUACCAAAGUUAUGGUAAGCCAGGUCAUGUACUCUGUGCAUUCUGAUGCAGAAAGUAGAGGAUCCUCUCCAACUGAAUCUCUCCAAACAUCUGAAACCACUAUAUCUGAUGUAGGCAAUCUAUUGAGUGGCAAGUCCUCCCCUCGGCUGUCUCCUUCUGGCACCAUUAUGGCAACAAGCGAGACCUCCAAUGCAGCACAAAUCUUGAAGGCCAACAUUGAUGGAGAGGAAGUGGAUACCACCAGUCAUUCUGGUGUAGCUCAAAACAUUGUCAGGGACGAUAUGUCAACCAGCCCAGACAUGGUCAAAGAUGUCACACUUCCAACCCCAUCCUCUGAUAACUUGGGCAGUGAUGAUGACGUCACCGGCCUCAUCAGCAUGUUAGUAAUGAGAAUUCUAACAGAAAUCCAAACCCCAGCAGAAGAUUACCCAGUUGACGCCACACGCAAGUCACAAGACCUGAUCCCUAAAGUUAUGGAGGUCUUCUGUGCAUGGUCAGGCUGCUCUGAGACACAAGCCUAUCCAGAGAACUUGAGGAUUCAUAAAGUCUACAGAGUCGUCUAUAAAAAUCUGUUGGAGGAGUUUGGCUCGGAGAAAAUCCUCCAACAGGCCGUGUCGACUCAGGACUCUUCAUUUGAUAGGAUUCUUGUCAAGUCUUUGAGUGAAGCGCUUCUCCACAGAUGUAAUGAGGCAUUGAGGGCAGCCUCAAGAACAUCAGUCAAAACCACUGGGCCUAAGGCUCUUCCACUGGCUGAGGAUGUGAGGGCUAGCAGCGGGAAACUAUCUUUUCUACAAAGGCUGGUCAGGCUGACAAGCAACUUAAAGGUACAGCAAACGUAUUUAAAUGAACAGUUGUGGGAGAUAAUGUGAGUAAACAAUGCUAUUCAGUGUAAAAAUAUAAAACCAUCCGUUCAUUCCAAAACCAAUCAUAAAUGUUGUUGUGCUGGUGUGGUAGUUGUGAUUGUUAUCAUCAUGAGGUUGGUCAGCUGUGACAUUUUUUAAAACAUGUUUUUCUCUUUAAAUACUUAGCUAUUCAAGAAGGGGAACAAGAAGGAUUCCCACCGCUCUGAAUCAGAACAAGUACAGACCACUGCUGAAGAUGGCAUGCUGCCCAGCAUAGUGCCACAUGCUGCCAUGUCUGCACUGCCAAAGGAUCUCCCCGCCAGCUCCCAACAGGAGACGCCUCACAAACGUCCACUUCUCGUCAGGAUGUUUUCUGCCAUCUCCAAAGGCCUGUUCAAGCCCUUCAAACAGUCCUUAAAGACCAAGUGCAUCCUGUUUCCAUUGAUCAUCCUUGAGAUGUUUCUACAACUUGUUUGGAGUCCUGUGGUAAAUUCAAUUGAUUGGACAUGAUUUGGACAGAAACACAGACCUGGGGGAAGGGUAUGAGAAACAAUAUUCUCUGAUCUGAUGAUACCGAGAUUGAACUCUUUGGCCUGAAUCAGGAUCCUGGGAAAGAUGAACGGAGCAAAGUACAGAGAUCCUUGAUGAAAACC